CGAAAUCGGUAGACGCUACGGACUUAAAAUCCGUCGACUUUUAAAAUCGUGAGGGUUCAAGUCCCUCUAUCCCCA
rnacentral:tRNA from 2 species